GUCUACGGCCAUACCACCCUGAACGCGCCCGAUCUCGUUUGAUCUUGGAAGCUAAGCAGGGUCGGGCCUGGUUAGAACUUGGAUGGGAGGGGCGCCUGGGUGGCACAGCGGUUAAGCGUCUGCCUUCGGCU
ensembl:rRNA 5S_rRNA 5S ribosomal RNA